rnacentral:rRNA from 1 species
AUUGAACGCUGGCGGCAUGCCCUACACAUGCAAGUCGAACGGCAGCACGGGUGCUUGCACCUGGUGGCGAGUGGCGAACGGGUGAGUAAUAUAUCGGAACGUACCUUAUUGUGGGGGAUAACGCAGCGAAAGCUGUGCUAAUACCGCAUAAUCCCUAAGGGGGAAAGCGGGGGACCGUAAGGCCUCGCGCGAUUAGAGCGGCCGAUACCUGAUUAGCUAGUUGGUGAGGUAAAGGCUCACCAAGGCAACGAUCAGUAGCUGGUCUGAGAGGACGAUCAGCCACACUGGGGCUGAGACACGGCCCAGACUCCUACGGGAGGCAGCAGUGGGGAAUUUUGGACAAUGGGGGCAACCCUGAUCCAGCAAUGCCGCGUGAGUGAAGAAGGCCUUCGGGUUGUAAAGCUCUUUUGUCAGGGAAGAAACAGCAGCUCUAACACAGUUUGCGAAUGACGGUACCUGAAGAAUAAGCACCGGCUAACUACGUGCCAGCAGCCGCCGUAA